UACAGAGGUCCCAAGCGUUGUUCGGAUUCACUGGGCGUAAAGGGCGCGCAGGCGGCUACGCACGUCCGUUGUGAAAUCGCUCGGCUCAACUGGGCGGGGUCGGCGGAUACGGCGUAGCUGGAGCAAGCUAGGGGGCAAUGGAAUUCCCGGUGUAGUGGUGGAAUGCGUAGAUAUCGGGAGGAACACCAGUGGCGAAGGCGGUUGCCUGGAGCUUUGCUGACGCUGAGGCGCGAAAGCGUGGGGAGCGAUCCGG
rnacentral:rRNA from 1 species